CGUCCGUGCUGUGGACAAGAGCGUCCUCCUCAUGAAGCCUGAAGCCGAGCUCUCUCCCAGCUCUGUGUAUAACCUGCUACCCGUGAAGGAACUUCAGGGGUAUCAUCAUGGCGCAGACAUGCUGCCGAUGGAUCCCCAGGAGGAGUGCAUUGCCGCAGAGAAGAUAAUUGUGAAUGGAGUCACCUAUGCUCCAGUGUCGGAGCCAGAUGAAGAGGACACUUAUAGCAUCUUAAAGGAAAUGGGUUUAAAGGUCUUCACAAACUCCAAGGUGAGAAAGUCACAUUAUUGCCUCCAGUUCCCUCAAGUUGCUUGGGGUUUACAGAAGUUCUGAAGGAUUUCACAGUGAAGCCGGGGUAUCAGCACAAGCACUCAGGAGAACUGGACAUGCAAGGGUACUGGACUCAAGUUACCCUGUCAUGGCUGAGACCCUUCCAGCAGCGGUGGAGACAGUUUGAAAGUAUUUCCCAGAGACAUGGAUUUGGGAUUUAGUGCCUUUGACCUCCAAUGGAAGUGCUGAAUUGCCCUUGACAAUCCCUGAUACCAUCACAGAAUGGAAAGCUAAUGCGUUCUGCACCUCAAGUGACACUGGCUUUGGCCUGUCCCCAACCGUGUCCC